GAGGAAACCGGUGCGAUUCCGGUGCGGUCCCGCCACUGUGACCGGGGAGCGCCACUCCCCCGCGUGCCACCGGGGCGACCUGGGAAGGCCGGAGCGGCGCGUCGAUCCGGGAGCCAGGACACUC
rnacentral:ncRNA from 2 species